UACGUAGGGGGCUAGCGUUGUCCGGAAUCAUUGGGCGUAAAGCGCGUGUAGGCGGUCCGGUAAGUCCGCUGUGAAAGUCGGGGGCUCAACCCUCGGAUGCCGGUGGAUACUGUCGGGCUUGAGUACGGAAGAGGCGAGUGGAAUUCCUGGUGUAGCGGUGAAAUGCGCAGAUAUCAGGAGGAACACCAAUUGCGAAGGCAGCUCGCUGGGACGUUACUGACGCUGAGACGCGAAAGCGUAGGGAGCAAACAGG
rnacentral:rRNA from 1 species